GGUGCUGUUCUUCGUCCUCAUCCACCGCCGCUGCCACGCCCUCCCCUAUCGUCCCUCCCGGGACCUCCGACCGCCGCCGCCGAAGUUCCUCCUCCACCUCCGACAGAGACUCCAUUCGCGCCAUCCGUCUUAAAAAGGCAAUCUUCCCACUCUCGAUCUCACCUUAUUCUUUAUUCUCUGAAACAUCAAGAAAAUAAGUACUUUUUAGGUAUUCCUUCAAGAAAAUGAACUUAAGUUGAAAACCCUAGAUUCAAGGUUUUCUUACCUGUAUGUAUCGUUGCUAGCAUUGGAUGAUUAAUUGAUUUGUCUCUUGCAGUAUAUUUAGUUUAGAAAGUUAUUCUCCGGGGCAUCCAGAAAUUCGCAAGUUUGAAUUCAUUGCUUAUCAUAUAUCCUCGUCAAAAUGGGAGGGGAGCACGAGAUAGUGGAGACAGCACGAGGGAUGACCGAUAGGGUGGUAACAAUAAUGAGACUAAUAGGAUUGAUUGUUCAUGGGUUAAGUUUCGAAUAGUGCAUACAGUUCACAUUCAAAUUUCAAUCCAAAAGGUUCAGUUUGGAUCUCCUAAUUGAUUUACCUCAAAAGCUAGUCCGUUUUCCUAAGGUCAGUUCAUACAUGUUUAAGGGAAAGGAAUUCAAUGCAAGUAUUCAGGGUUUCAUCAAGCAGUUAUGCCAGGCUUUAAUGUUAUACAUGCUAGUAAGAUAUAUCGUAUUAUUCUCAACUUUUAUGGCUGCUAAAUUUCAAUCUUUUCUUAUUUGUAUAUUUUCUUGGUCCAUUGCUUUGUGAUUGGUGAAAGGACUGCAUGGUGGACCUUGCAUCGUAAUUUAAUAAUAUGUUUUUUGCAACUUUGAGGGCUCUCUUCAACUUUCCUUAUGUCCUUAGUUCUAGAAAACUGAAACUCCUUAAUAUCGUGCCCAGUUUUCUUUGCCUUCUGUGUUGUAUUAUAGUUGAGAAAAUGGUUAGCUCUAUUGAGUGUGCAUCUUAUUGCAUGGCAAUUGCAUUGACUCAAUCUACCCUUCAGAAAUAUAACUGAAUACACAAAACAUACUUCUGUUAUUAUAUUGUAGCGUUUUUUUUGCCUUUUCUGCCCUUAACCUUAAAUAUUGCUUCAUGGUUAGGUGGAAGAGUUGAGGAGCAAGGGUUAUGAGCCUUAUGCAUAUAAGUGGAACAGAAGUCACACUGCAAGCCAGCUCCAGGAAAUUUAUAGCAAUUUGGCAAAUGGUGAAGAAUGUAAGGAAGUCUCUGUAUCCAUUGCAGGAAGAAUGUUGCUCGCAGAGCAUUUGGUAAACUUGCCUUCUUGACUAUAAGAGAUGAUUCAGGGACAAUCCAGGUUUGCCUCUUCUACUAUACCUAUCUUCUUUCCAAAGCUAUAAAAUAACAUUUGCAAAUUCCUGUCUUCUUUUAUAGUUGCACCAUAUAGCUAACCGGUUAAUUUAGAUGCCAACUUUUAUUGAAACAAGAUUCACGAAAGGGGCAGAAAAGGAUUAGCUCCAUUAUGUCUGCGGCAUUAAAGUAAUAAAUAGAAUAAUUGAUGACUAAUUAAAAGUUUUAUAUUUUCCUAAACAUUUAUAUAGUUGGCAUUGAAUAAAUUUUAUUUAAUAGUUGACUUGCUAUAAAUUGAGAAUAAAGUGCCAGUUUGGACAAUGCCUCAUUCUACAAUACGUACCCUGCAGGCAGGUUAUAGGCUCUAUGUGGUGUUUUGUACAUACUGCUGUAUCGUUCAUGCUAGCCCAUGUUGAUGCAGUUAUGCGAUAAACAUGGUUACAUGCCAUCAUGUUAUGAUAUGAAUUAGUAUGACCAGUACACCAGCACAUACCUUUGCAUUUAGCCAAUAACGCAUUGCUGUUUGAUAUUUUCCAGUCCAUACUUGCACUGAAUGCUGGAUAAAUGGGAAACCUUGGUUAAGUAUGCAUUUACGUUAAUAUUAUAUAUCAACUGUAAACCACACCUGUUAGCUAAUUACUUAAAAAAUGCCAAAUAUUCUUUUUGUUGCAAUGUUGAACUUCUAUAAAUUUGAAUACUUCAUAUGUACUUCAACAAUUUGUAUUUUCUGCCUUAUGUUGAACCCAUUAAGUUAGGUAGAUGUAGCCCCUUAAAGUUAGGGCUGCAAGGAGAAUAGAUAUGAGCUGAAAUGAAUUUCGGAUCUAGAUCGAUCUGAAUAUAUAUCUUUCUCAAAUCUGCAGCAAGGAAGAGAAGAGGCAAUAUUUCUUAAAAGGAGAACUACUUCAUUCAAUGAGUUGGAAUUAAAGAGGAGGAGGUAGAGAGGGAAGAAAGAACAGAGGGUAAGAUCUUCAAAAAAGAACUACUUCAUUCAAAAUAAUCCAUAUAUAUUAUUCAUGUGUUCUCAUAAUGCAUAUUUACAGACAAACAACCAUAAAACAAUGUGGUAAUUAAAGGAUCUAACUCGCUUAUAUUGGACCUAAGUCUACGACUAGAACAAUUUGACUCAACAAGGACUUCUGAUCUAAAUUAAUAAUAUAAAAGCUAUUCAUUUUCUUAACAAAAAAUGACUAAAGUUUUUCCAUCUAUAGUAAAUUCAGAAUUCCCAAGGAUUCCAUAUAAAAGGCUCUAGAAAUUUUUCCAUUGACAAUCCCAAUGAAGUUAAAGCUUUUCUAACCCAUCCUAGACCCAAGGUAGGACCUUUAGAUGAUAAUCCGGCUCAUAUCAGGGCUCAAAAAACUUCAGGAAAGUGACCCUAAAGGUUUUCUUCAAUAAAAGACAUCUAAGACAAUAAAAAUAGCAAUUUAACUGAAAAUAAUAAUCAAAAUCAGAAUAACUAAAUUUGACCCAAUAUGGACCUAAGCUACAUUACAUGUGCAAUUUUUUUUAUUGACUAGCUAUCAAGCUGCUAUUGACUAUCCACCACUAAAUUCAGGUCUGGGUGGUGUAUCUAGCUUGAAAAUGGAGAUGGUCCUUUCUAAGUUAUUUAAAAAUAAUCAUAACUCCUCUUAAAUCAUAAUUAUUAUAGUUUUAUCUCGCAAUACCUAUUGGUGAAAUCUAGCUGGCAGGGGAAACUAAUAUUGCAGUUCAUUUUUAUUUCCUUCAUUUGAGAGAAACAAGAGCUAGCAUGGUUUAGGAAGAUGGAGCGAAAUUGCUGCAUAUUCCCCAUCUCCCUCUUCAAAAAUUAGGUGGUUCUUCUUGUGUAGCGAAGGCAGGUACUAGGACUGUGAAGAUUCCAUCAUGUGCAUCUCUUGCAUCUGUUGCAUCAAUUUGGUCAUGUCUUGAAAUUCUACACUGUCCUAUGAUGGGUCUGUGAAGGGAACAUGUUACUUUGCUAGUAUACCUUAUCAUAAACUCCCAAGAGGUGAGGUUGUUAAAGCACAAGAAAAGAAAGACGAGAAAGAAAAAGAAUAUUUAUAGGUUUAUCCAAGGUCCGCAAUUUUGGUAUCGGAUACCAUAUCAAUACCUUAUCGGUUUGAUACGGUAUAGUAUGACAUGGUAUGAUAUAUUUUCAUACCGAAAUAGCUUUCUAACUAUUUUUUUUAAUUUUUAUCUCCAUACGCCUUGGUACGCACCUCGAUACGGGGCCGUAUACCUUGGUAUGGGGCGGCACAUCUCGAUACGAGCGGUACGGAGCUUGUACUGAUUUGAAGUUAAGUUUCAUAGCGGUUUCCUCUUUGUACGGUACGGGCGGUAUGGCAGAUCAUAGGUUUAUCAACUAUUUUUACACUCAUUAUCAUCAUAAUACCAAUGUGUUAAGUGCUGUCCGAUAUUGACUAGAACAAGGAGUACUGUUCCUCCUAGGUACAAUAAAGUACGUAUAGGGGCAUGGUAUGCCCAUAUAUAGAUAAAUGGUAUGGGUGCUGUGCCAACUCAAACAACAUAAAUUGUGGUGGGUUAGGGAGUGUCAUAUUGAUAUUGGUAUGGGAUAUGGUAUUGAGACUUAAAUUAAUAUUUACAACUUCAAAAUAGGAUAAUUUGUUUGAUUUUUGUCUUCACUUUUUGGCUUUUGUUUCUAGUUACAUUUGAUUUCUAAAUUUGUACUCAUAAUCUUAUGCCAUCGUUUUAGUUAACUUGCCAUGAGUCUUCCUUCCACUUUAAACUUGCUUUUCUUUUGAUUUCUCCUAUCCAGAGCUUUCCCAAAAGCAUUUAGCACUUGUAAAAGUUUUGGUGCUAUCCAUAUUUCGUUAAUCUCAUUUUGUUUAGCAAUUGUAUAUGCAUGUGUGUGGUUUCCUCUAAUGUUUUCACUCCAUUUGCAGCUUUACUGUGAGAAAGAAAGCCUUGCAGAGGAUCAAUUCGAGCAGUUGAAGACAUUUGUUGACAUUGGUGAUAUUUUGGGUGCAAGUGGUUCCAUAAAGAGGACAGAGAAAGGUCAGCAGCGGAGCAAAUCCCUUUGUAUCUCGUCAAUUACUUUGUUUGCUUAUGGCAUUCAAAACUAUUUCUCUAUAUCUUUUGCUCAAUGUUUACACUCAGACAAUCUUGUGCUUCUCAUCAGAAAAAUCUAGUCUUAUGUUUUCAAAUUGGUGCAUUGCCAAGGCAUGGAGUUUUCUGGUUAAAUUUUGAAGUAUAAGAUUGGAUUUUAUUGGCCAAUUUUUGGAACCAUAUCUAAUACAUUACAUAUGUUAUCUAGGGCCAUAAACAUAUCUGCUUUUUUGAAGAAUUUAUUGGUGGUCGAGAUUACCAUAUAGUUCUCUUUGCCGCUUGAACAUUCAUCUUAUUUAAUCACCUUAUUUUUUCCAGGGGAGCUGUCUGUUUACGUGAAGUAUUUUGAAAUCCUUACAAAAUCUUUGGUCCCACUACCAGAUAAAUAUCAUGGCUUAACUGAUAUCGAUAAGCGGUAUCGUCAGAGGUUAGUUUCUCUUCACUGGCUCGUAUCAUCUUUUCCUUGUAUUUAUUUUUUAAUAGAACAAUGAUUAAAUGUUUAAUAUUAUUAUAAUAAGUAAUCAAUAUUUUUUCCUAAAUUUUAAAUAUAAUCUUCAAAUAUCUAUAUAGGAUUUCAAUUCUAUUGCUUUAUAUGGAAUUUUGCUAUAUCCUUGCUGGUUUAUUCAACAAGUAUGUAGUUUGACACCAAUAUCCUCUUUUUAUAACAUGCAGAGUCUUUUAACUUUAGAAUCUUCGCACAUGAUUUUUAUGUCAUAUGCAUGUUAUCUUGGAGUAGCUUAAUUUUGAAACCAUCAGCUUUAGGGAUAUCUAUGUCUAUAAUGAUGCAUUGUAUGUAUGCCUUUAUUAAUUUUUUUUUUGUGUAUUUUAUGAGCACAGUAUAAGCUUUCCAGCAUCUGCUUGCUGAGCUUCAUCAUGUCAUAACCUAUAAUCAUCAUCCUAGAAUGAUUUUUGGAAACUUAGGAUGUGAACUGAGGAAAGUUUGACCUUAGGAUAAAGUCCCAGUCUGUCUUAGAUUGGAUCAGUGAAGUUCUGGGUCCGUAGAUGGGUCCAGGACCCUUAUACAUGCAAAACCAAAUCAUCCCGGUCUGUCUCAGCUGCUAUGAAUUGGAGUGGUUGCUACCAGUGUCUCAAUACUUAGGAUGGUCAUUCAUUUUUUCUUGUUCUAACUUUUGCCCUCUUGUUUAUGGGUUGAAAAGCAACCUUGAAGAAGCCUGUUGCAAGUGCUUAAGUGAGAAAAGAAAGCCUUUGUCAUGAUUUUUAUUUGUGGCCGAUAGAGAUUUUUAUUGUGUCUCCACCUAGGUACCUCACAAACCAGUGUUAUAUGCAUCAAGAUUGUUAGACAAAAAAUAUCUUGAAAUCGUUUAUGAUAUAUUAAUUGAAUUUUUCUCCACUAAAAUACCAUCUUAGUGGGGCUUCAAAAUUUCAUUGUAUUAAUCAAGAACAUGACACUUUUGCGUGCAACUUUAGUAGUCAUGUCAAAAUAUUCCAUUCCUCCUUUCUACUUUUACUUGGAUGGGGCAUGCCCUCAAUCAAUAGUGGAUUAUACAAUAUAAAGAUUCAAAAUGAACCAACUACCUCUAGUUCAAUUAGAGUAUUAACAUUGGAAAUAGAGGAAGAAAGGAAUAGGGCUUAGGUCAUGGACACAAACCUGAUACCAAAAUGGUGUAGGUACUGGUAUCGGCACCAUAAACCUAAAUUAUGACAAACAAACUCUAAAGCCCUUGUAAACAAUCAUAAAAACAACGAACAAUAAUUAAAAACAAAACAAUGGCAUCCUGUCGAGUCACCGAGACUUCCAUCUAUCCCAAGCAAGGUACGCUACAUCGUACCGAACUGGUCGUUACGGGAUGUACUACACCAAAUCAGAUGGCACAAAGCGUACCGUACCGUACCGUACCUGUACAUGGUACAAAGAGCGUACCAUACUGAGUGUCGGGAUGCUGAACCAGCUCUUGUAUCGAGCAUACUGACACUGUGUGAUAGGGUGGCAUUAAUAUGAGGCCUGGAUCGAGAUGGCGUACUUUGAUCCUAAGUGCUGGGAUGGCAUCUUCCUGAAUCUCAAUAGCAUCUCAAUCCGGCCUCGGACCGAUAUAGGGCUUGGGUUUGGGAUUUAAAACCUUAAGACAAUAAAGAGUUGUACCAGGAGAUAUCCUUCACCACUAUAUAUACAUGCAUGCAUACAUACAUAUGCAUGCAUAUCCAUACAUAUACAUGCAUCCAUACAUAUACAUACAUACAUACAUAUAUAUAUAUAUGUGUGUGUGUGUGUGUGUAUAUAUAUAUGGGCACUCACGCACACGCGCGCGCGCGCACACACAUAUAUACAUGUAUGUGUCCAUGUAUAUACAUGUAGAGACACACACAACAUUUAUACAUACAUACAAACAGACAUACAUAUUCUACAAAUUAGUUGCAACUUGUAGUUAGAGAAGUGAAAGAUGUGUGGAAGCAUAAGUAUGAAUAGCUUUUCAUGGUAUAUGAAUGCUGUUUAUCAUCAUUGAGAGGUAGAUGCCAUUUAUUAUUUUGCCUGUCAGUUAAAGGAAAAAAACAUGCUCAGCAUUUGCCUCCAAAUUGACUGAUAUAAGUAGAGACUGUAGUUAGUAGUUCGUUAAAAACACUUCUGUUGAUGUACCCAGCACAACUUAGGGAAUUUGUUUGAUCUGAUACCAUGGAAUGUAUCUACUCUAGAUUAACAUAAUUCCUGGUUUACCAAAAAAGAAACACUUUUGUUGUGUGGCAUAUUUACAUAUAAUUUUUCGAAGUAUUUUAGAAAACCAGCUAACCAUACUGAAGAUAUUGAGGAUGAAAAGGGAGACACUUGAGUACAUAAGUUGUUCUGGUUCAAUGUAAUUUGAUAACGCAUCAGUCUAACAUGCUGUUAUGAGGCAAAAGCAUUUUCAAGAGUGAGCUGCAUGUGAGAAAAAAUUAUAACCUUAUGGUGCCUUGGAACUGGUCUUUAGAGGUCUGGUGGAGAUAUUGGGUGGUGAGCCUCCAAUAAGGCGCAAAUUAAUACAUCUUAAUUGCCAAGAUGGGAAGCUCAUUGCUGAGCAAUGGUUGCUAUAUUUUCUUUUUUUUGGUUCAGUUAUGAGAAAGUUCUGCCUGAUGAUUUUCCUAUCACUGCUCGCAUUCUUUUAGUUUCACUGUGAUUUUCUGACUGAAGCAUGAAAGAAUGUGAGGCUAUGAGAAUUUGAAAAUGGCGUGCAGGAGAUGAACUUGUUGCUCUGUCUAAGAAAAACGGUUACUUAUGGUAGUUAUUUCUUGCAUGUAUAAGAAAAGCAGGCUCAUAAACAUCCCCAUGCCACUGCAUAGGACAAGACAGAGGGCUUGGAGCUAGCUGCUUAGGAAACAGAGACAUCAAGACAGUUGAGAAAAUCUAGUUGUUGCUCUAUGAGAUGAAUUAAACAUCUUGAAACCUUGAUGCAUGACUAUUUGCUUGGGAACUAGCUUAUAGAGAUUUAUGUUUCUUUUUUUUGCGUCACCAUCUAGUAGCAUAUUGGAUCUAAGAUCCCAUUUCUCCACCUCCUCCUCCUCUUGUUUUUAAAGGUUUUUGCAGUAGUAUCUAUUUGGGUCUGUAUUAGGUUGGAUUAUGAUUAAUUCCGCCGCCGCCGAAGUUCCUCCUCCACCUCCGACAGAGACUCCAUUCGCGCCAUCCGUCUUAAAAAGGUGGAAGAGUUGAGGAGCAAGGGUUAUGAGCCUUAUGCAUAUAAGUGGAACAGAAGUCACACUGCAAGCCAGCUCCAGGAAAUUUAUAGCAAUUUGGCAAAUGGUGAAGAAUGUAAGGAAGUCUCUGUAUCCAUUGCAGGAAGAAUUGUUGCUCGCAGAGCAUUUGGUAAACUUGCCUUCUUGACUAUAAGAGAUGAUUCAGGGACAAUCCCGGAUUACUUAAAGUAGAAUAUUUUUCUCUCAGAGUUGGGGGUACAAACUCUAUAUAAGGUGCAAAAUAAAGCUUGGGCUAAUAAUAGGAGAUAAUUGGUUAAGACCAGACCAAGGUACGCUGAACCAGUACUGGUAGGCGUACCGGUCGCCUACCGGACCGGUUCGAGACCGGUUCGUACCAGAACCGGUCUUUUGUUUAUAUAUAUUUUUUUGGUUCAUGGACGCGCGCGGAUGCCCAUGGAAAAAGAAUUUUUUUUGGUUCGCGUCCGCACGCGGACGC
rnacentral:lncRNA from 1 species